rnacentral:rRNA from 1 species
AACGAACGCUGGCGGCGUGCCUAACACAUGCAAGUCGAACGCGAAAGUCCUUCGGAUGAGUAAAGUGGCGCACGGGUGAGUAACACGUAGGUGACCUGCCUUUUAGUAGGGGAAGUAACCAGAAGAAAUUUUGGUCUAAUGCCGCAUACGAAGAACAAAUAUACUAGUAGUUCUUGAAAGGAUGCCUCUGUAUAUGCAUCCACUAAAAGAUGGGCCUGCGGGACAUUAGCUAGUUGGUGGGGUAAGUGGCCUACCAAGGCGACGAUGUCUAUCCGGUCUGAGAGGAUGAUCGGACACACUGGAACUGAGACACGGUCCAGACUCCUACGGGAGGCAGCAGUGGGGAAUAUUGCGCAAUGGGGGGAAACCCUGACGCAGCAACGCCGCGUGAGUGAGGAAGGACUUCGGUCUGUAAAGCUCUGUUAAUGUGGAAAAAUGGUAGUUGGUCUAAUAGGCCGAUUAUUUGAUGGUACACAUAGAGGAAGCACCGGCUAACUUCGUGCCAG